CGUGUCCUGAAUUUAGAUAACAAAAACGAAAAUAAGCUUCCACGAGUGAAUUUAUUAGUAUUGCAUGCAAGUAGUAUUUUAGCGCACGAAAUAGUAAAUUGAAAGCAUCUCACUGAUACUCAGGAAAAGAAUACGCAUUUGCGUCAUCACAUAUCUUAAUCUAAUAGUUGAAAUCGAAUGUCAAACGGCUUACAUUAAAUGUUUUGACUCCGGAUGCAUUGACAUUUUAUCCGGAAUUUUUGAGAACGCAAACCGAUAGUGUGCUUUUGAAAUGUGAUCUAUAAUGUGAAUGAAUCAAGACGUGUAGGAUAGUUGGUCAACACAAUUAAUACAAUUUUCAAAACCGUACCAUAGUACAAAUAAAGUUUAGAUGCUAUAAGGUUAAAU
rnacentral:lncRNA from 1 species